rnacentral:rRNA from 1 species
GUAAGGGGCGAGCGUUGUUCGGAUUUACUGGGCGUAAAGGGUGUCUAGGCGGCACGUCAAGUCGGAAGUGAAAUCCCACGGCUUACCCGUGGAAUUGCUUUCGAAACUGGCGAGCUUGAGUACGGGAGAGGAGAGCGGAAUUCCCGGUGUAGCGGUGGAAUGCGUAGAUAUCGGGAAGAACACUCGUGGCGAAGGCGGCUCUCUGGACCGCUACUGACGCUGAAGCACGAAAGCCAGGGGAGCGAACGGGAUUAGAUACCCCGGGUAGUCCUGGCCGUAAACGAUGUGCACUUGGUGUAGGAGGUAUCGACCCCCCUUCUGUGCCGAAGCUAACGCAUUAAGUGCACCGCCUGGGGAGUACGGCCGCAAGGCUG